rnacentral:rRNA from 1 species
AGUGAACGCUGGCGGUAGGCCUAACACAUGCAAGUCGAACGGCAGCACAGUAAGAGCUUGCUCUUACGGGUGGCGAGUGGCGGACGGGUGAGGAAUACAUCGGAAUCUACUUUUUCGUGGGGGAUAACGUAGGGAAACUUACGCUAAUCCCGCAUACGACCUACGGGUGAAAGCAGGGGAUCUUCGGACCUUGCGCGAUUGAAUGAGCCGAUGUCGGAUUAGCUAGUUGGCGGGGUAAAGGCCCACCAAGGCGACGAUCCGUAGCUGGUCUGAGAGGAUGAUCAGCCACACUGGAACUGAGACACGGUCCAGACUCCUACGGGAGGCAGCAGUGGGGAAUAUUGGACAAUGGGCGAAAGCCUGAUCCAGCCAUACCGCGUGGGUGAAGAAGGCCUUCGGGUUGUAAAGCCCUUUUGUUGGGAAAGAAAAGCAGCAGGUUAAUACCCCGCUGUUAUGACGGUACCCAAAGAAUAAGCACCGGCUAACUUCGUG